rnacentral:rRNA from 1 species
AUGCGCACAGACAGGAGAGGGGAAAGCUUAUUACUAUCAGAUAUGGGAAGCUUCUUGCCAUGGGGAUCGUUGAUACUACUAUUUCUGUUGUUACAGUCCAUACUUCACUUGUCCUCCGGCUGCUUGAUGGAGGAGAGGGCUGCACUAAUGGACAUCAGGUCUUUCCUUAUGAGAGCGCAUUCCCUGAUUGCGCUUGAUUCAUGGAGGAAGGAUGAUGAUGACUGCUGCUCGUGGGAGCUUGUGAAAUGCAACAAUGAAACAAAGCGAGUGUCUCAUCUCUACCUUUCGGGUGUAUACCUAAGUAACCUAACAAUUCCAGAUGUCCCUCAGUAUUUAAACUCGACGGUAUUUUCUGCAUUCCACGAGCUUCAGUACCUAGAUCUAUCAUCCAAUUCUUUCCGUUCACUAAGCUUGGAAGGGUUGGUUGGACUAUCCAAGCUUCGAUAUCUCGACCUCAGUGACAAUACAUUUGAAGGGUGUUUCCCUGAAACUAUUGGGCGCAUUGUUUCACUGGAAGUCUUGGUUCUCAACUAUAACAACAUGAAUGGACGUCUUCCAACCACAGCUGUUGAAAAUCUUAGAAACUUGCGACAAUUGAAUAUGUCUGAGAAUAGCUUCAGCGGAAACCUCCCAGAACCGCUAUUUUCACUCCCUCACUUAAAGAUCCUGGAUCUCUCCAGCAAUAACUUUGGUGGGCAUAUUCCAGUUAGUUCAUCCUCAGGGCCCAUUUCACUUGAAGUCUUAGAUCUCAGCAUUAAUGGCCUCAGUGGAACUCUCCCAGUUAAAGCCUUUGGAAACAUCAGGAACUUGAAUUUGCAUGGCAACCUAUUCAGUGGAUCUCUCCCAGUGUCAAUAUUUGCACUUCCUCAUCUGAAGUUCCUAGAUCUCUCAUAUAAUAAUUUUGUGGGACGUUUUCCUAUUAAUUUCUCGUCAGAACCAGUUCCACUUGAUGUCUUAUGUCUUCACGGUAAUAGCAUGAGUGGAGCACUGCCGAUUGAACGAGCAUUUGAAAAUCUACUGAACCUACGGGAGUUGUAUCUGAGUUCCAACCGAUUCAUCGGAAACAUUCCAACAUUCUUGUUUUCGCUACCACACAUUGAACAGUUAAAUCUAUCAACUAAUUAUUUUGAAGGACCAUUUCCGAUAAAUCCAUCUUCGAAUCUUUCAUCGUCACUUAAGAGUCUUCGGUUCUCCCAAAACAAUCUGAGUGGUAGACUUUCUUUCGUUUGGCUUGGAAACCUCACAAAACUUGAAGAGAUAGAUCUUUCAGGCAAUGCCAACCUGGCUGUUAAUAUUUCCGGAUGGACACCUCCGUUCCAGUUGAAACAACUACUGCUCUCUGCUUGUGACCUUGACAAGAACAUAAUUGCGGAACCACAUUUUUUACGCACACAGCGUCAUUUAGAGGUGCUUGAUUUGUCCAACAAUAACUUGUCAUGCAGCAUGCCAAAUUGGUUGUUUACAGAGGAAGCAACACUACAGGUUCUAAAUCUUGGGAAUAACUCGCUAACUGGAUCGCUGGACCCAAUAUGGCAUACCCAAUAUUCUCUCAGCAGUAUCGAUAUACACAUGAACCAUGUCGCAGGACAGCUGCCGGCCAACCUCAGCUCAAUGUUUCCAAUUUUGUCUGUUCUAGAUUUUUCUAGUAACAACUUGUUUGGGGACAUACCAACGUCACUGUGCGAGAUCAGCUUCAUGGGAAUUUUAGACCUAUCAAACAACAAACUUUCUGGGGAGGUCCAGCUUGUGUUUUUAUUAAUUAUCCCCUGCUAUUGA